CACGUAGGAGGCGAGCGUUGUCCGGAAUCAUUGGGCGUAAAGAGCGCGCAGGCGGCUUGGCAAGUCGGGUGUGAAAUCCCGGGGCUCAACCCCGGGACUGCAUUCGAUACUGUCGGGCUAGAGGUAGGUAGGGGAGAUCGGAAUUCCUGGUGUAGCGGUGAAAUGCGCAGAUAUCAGGAGGAACACCGGUGGCGAAGGCGGAUCUCUGGGCCUUACCUGACGCUCAGGCGCGAAGGCUAGGGGAGCGAACAGG
rnacentral:rRNA from 1 species